AGCGGCGGAUGGGUGAGUAACACGUGGGGAACCUGCCCCUAAGACUGGGAUACCAUUUGGAAACAGGUGCUAAUACCGGAUAAUAAAGCAGAUCGCAUGAUCAGCUUUUGAAAGGCGGCGUAAGCUGUCGCUAAGGGAUGGCCCCGCGGUGCAUUAGCUAGUUGGUAAGGUAACGGCUUACCAAGGCGACGAUGCAUAGCCGAGUUGAGAGACUGAUCGGCCACAUUGGGACUGAGACACGGCCCAAACUCCUACGGGAGGCAGCAGUAGGGAAUCUUCCACAAUGGACGCAAGUCUGAUGGAGCAACGCCGCGUGAGUGAAGAAGGUUUUCGGAUCGUAAAGCUCUGUUGUUGGUGAAGAAGGAUAGAGGUAGUAACUGGCCUUUAUUUGACGGUAAUCAACCAGAAAGUCACGGCUAACUACGUGCCAGCAGCCGCGGUAAUACGUAGGUGGCAAGCGUUGUCCGGAUUUAUUGGGCGUAAAGCGAGCGCAGGCGGAAAAAUAAGUCUAAUGUGAAAGCCCUCGGCUUAACCGAGGAACUGCAUCGGAAACUGUUUUUCUUGAGUGCAGAAGAGGAGAGUGGAACUCCAUGUGUAGCGGUGGAAUGCGUAGAUAUAUGGAAGAACACCAGUGGCGAAGGCGGCUCUCUGGUCUGCAACUGACGCUGAGGCUCGAAAGCAUGGGUAGCGAACAGGAUUAGAUACCCUGGUAGUCCAUGCCGUGAACGAUGAGUGCUAAGUGU
rnacentral:rRNA from 1 species